CAAAUUAAAAAUGAACAAGUAUCAAAGAUUUUAUUUGACUCAGUAAGAUGAUAUGACUAAUUCAAAGGGAAGUUGAGAAGCUAGCAUAUGCAUAUGCUAAUAUUUAUUUAUCUUCAGCUGGUUGCAGAAGAGGAAGUCAGAGUGACACUCCCUGGAUGGCCAUGAAAGCAUGCAUCCAUGCUGUGAACUGCCUAUGGGGGCCAUGUGGAAAGGAGCUGAGAUGGACCAAUGGGUGAUGAUGAGCAAGAAAAGGGGGACCUCAGUCAUAAACCCCAAAGAACCAAAUUCUGCUAACAAAAAGAAUAAGCUUGGAAGAGGAUUUUCUCCCCCAAGACCUCCUGAUGAGAACUUAAUCUAGCUGACAGGUUGAUAUCAGCCUUGUGAUACUCUUAGCAGGGACCCCACCUUGCCUUGCCAGACUUCUGUCAUACAGAACUGUAUGCGAACAAGUGGGUGUUGUUUUAAGCUGCUAAGCUUCUGGUAAUUUGUUAUGCAGUAAUAAAAAAUUAAUACAAUGACAAAAAUGGAUGUAUAUAAGUUGGUAAACAUGUAAGUAAGUUGAAACAAACAUCCACAUAAAAAUAACAAUAUUAUCUAUUGGGGGGGGGUCUCCAAAAAAGGCAAAAUUCUGAGCAAUAUCAUAUAAAUUAAAAGGGAUUGACCAUAAUUAAAGUAUUCUAAGGUAUUUAUAUUCAGGGACAGAAAUUUGUAGGUGUGUCUCUCCUAAAAAAAGAUCAGAUCCUACAUCUUAUUUCCCCUUCUUUCUGGGAAAAUGCCCAUUCAGUCAGUUCCCUACAUCCUAUGCAACGAGGCGGCCAUAUGUCAAGUUCUGACCAACAUAAUACGAAAUUGGAGUCAUGUGUGCACUUUUCACCUUAUUUGCUUAAAAAAAUCACCUGUCCUAGACUUCUCUUUCCCCUUUUUGAUGUUUGAGACAUAGACAAUAUAGAGUCCUAACUGACCGUACAAAUGCAGACUGUAGGGAAUAGUGGAACAAUAAAAUGGAAUCAUCUGGGUCCCUGAAUGACUAAAAAAGCAGACCCAUACUGUUAACCUGACCAUAUCUUAGGACCAUUACUUGAGAUAGAAAUUUACAUUAUUUAACUCUGUAUUUUCAGAGCUCUUUCUACUCUGUAUUUCUGGAGCUCUUUCUUAGAUUAACUUAAACUUAACCUUAACUAAAUCAGUCCCUGAACCAAGUGGAACAAUCACAGAAACCUAAAGUAUGGGGCACUUGGCUUAGCAAAAUUUAGGGCUUAGUAGUAAGGCAGUGGAUCUUAUGUUGUUUGGGGUACAGAAGCAGUUGGCUCUUUCCAGCUUGUGAGGCUCAAAUUUCUGGAUUCUCUAUCCCUUUCCUUCUCUGCUUGCAAAUUGGCAUAUUCUUGCCUUAGCUCAUCUUUUUCUUAUAAUACCUUGCUAAAAGCAGCAAGAGCAGCCAACACAUAUUCCUUAUUGCUUUUAGUAGUGAAUUAAAAUAAAUAACAUGAGAUAAAAUUACAACCCUAAACAUUUCCCUAAAGCUUCCUCAAAGAAAGCCGAUCAUUGACAAAGAUUGGAUUAAGUAUGUUGCUUUCUAACGUAAGCCUAUUUUUCAGAUAACCUCAAAGUAGCUGUAAUUAAAAUGAGAAAGAAGGUGAGAAGGAGCCAAGAUGUCAGGAAAAGUUUGGCUUAGAAACUUUGUCCAAAAAAAAAACCAAGCAAAAACCAAACAAAACAAAAAACACAAACUAAACAAACCAACAACAACAAAACCUUUGAUGUGAUUACUGGCAUAUAAACAAACAGGAAAUAAACAGAAUGGAAUUCUACUGAGUAGUUUUGAGAAUUAUACCACCAACAAAUCUAUCAGUAAGAUCUUGUGAAAAGCUGUGGUUGUUCAAUAUUUAAAGCAACUCUCAAGGUCCCAAACCUACUCUAGUAAUGAAGUGGGCUGUUAAAACAAUGCACCAUCCCCCACCACAAUUUCCACUCUACCCUACCUACAUUCUCUCUAAAAUCAGGUAUAGCCACUGAAGAUUAGGAACAAUGAAGAACAUCUGGAAGGCAAAGGCAGAAUUCAUAGAUGGUAAGGGAGUUUUUCUUAGUGAUCAAAACUAGCAUGUAACCAAGGAAAUUUCUUUACUACUAGGUCAAGAGUUUCUUUAUAAUUCUUGCCCAGGGUUAUUUCCUCCUGUAUAUUGGACGAAUGAUGACUUUGUAUUUUCCAUUCUUCCUUAUCCAAAAGGUGUACCAUCAUUGUAUAUUAGGGUUCAGGUUCAUAUAACUUGUCUAUUAAUAUGUUGUUCACAGGACUAUGAAGAGCUUCAUAUGAACUGAACAGAGAGAAUUUUGCAGCACCUAGAUAGCUUGGAUUUUGGACUAGAGAGGAUCUUGGAUUAUAUUCAUGAAGAGAUUAAGUCUUUUCAACGUGUGGGAAAGAAGGCCGAAUAACUGCUGGAUAAGGAUGUUGUUGAUGAUUCCUCGAACUGGGAGAAAGUUCCGGUGAGACCUGAAAUGACUCAGCCCCUAGGGAUCAGACAGCCUUGAAGUCUACCCACAGAAAAUGAUUGAAACAAUCAGCAAAACUAAAAGGCAACUGACGGAAUGGGAGAAGAUAUU